rnacentral:rRNA from 1 species
AGGACGAACGCUGGCGGCGUGCCUAAUACAUGCAAGUCGUACGCUUCUUUUUCCACCGGAGCUUGCUCCACCGGAAAAAGAAGAGUGGCGAACGGGUGAGUAACACGUGGGUAACCUGCCCAUCAGAAGGGGAUAACACUUGGAAACAGGUGCUAAUACCGUAUAACAAUCGAAACCGCAUGGUUUUGAUUUGAAAGGCGCUUUCGGGUGUCGCUGAUGGAUGGACCCGCGGUGCAUUAGCUAGUUGGUGAGGUAACGGCUCACCAAGGCCACGAUGCAUAGCCGACCUGAGAGGGUGAUCGGCCACAUUGGGACUGAGACACGGCCCAAACUCCUACGGGAGGCAGCAGUAGGGAAUCUUCGGCAAUGGACGAAAGUCUGACCGAGCAACGCCGCGUGAGUGAAGAAGGUUUUCGGAUCGUAAAACUCUGUUGUUAGAGAAGAACAAGGAUGAGAGUAACUGUUCAUC